rnacentral:lncRNA from 1 species
CUAUUGAGCGUCACAAGUCAUUUGAUGAAGAUGAGAUAGCAGCAAAACCAAUUGUCCCACCCAAGAAAGUCAAUACAGCUAAAAUAAAUGCUAGACAAUAUUCAAUUGCGGACCUACAGAUGGCUACUGAUAGCUUCAGUGUUGAUAACCUUAUUGGUGAGGGAUCCUUUGGGCGUGUUUAUCGGGCUCAAUUCGAUGAUGGAAAGGUAUAUUUUCUCCCUUAUGACUGACCAACUAUGAAAAGAAAAUGUUGUUGAUAACCUUAUCGGUGAGGGAUCUUUUGGGCGUGUUUAUCGGGCUCAAUUCGAUGAUGGAAAGGUAUAUUUUCUCCCUUAUGACUGACCAACUAUGAAAAGAAAAUGUUUGUCUUUAAUUGAAUAUGGAUGUCAUAUCAUGAAUUGAUUUUGUGCUGGUAAUGAAGCAAGACAGUUGAAAUGGCAGAUAAAUGUUCGUUAAGAAGCCUAUGAAUAGAAAGAAAAAAAAGAGCAGUUUGAUAACAAAAAAAGAACUAUUUAGUUGAAGAGUUAUGUUUGCUGAAAACUUCUGUUUUGAAGAUACUAUCAUCUAUGCCUGUGUAACUAAACCAUCUUCAUAAGUUCCUUUCUAAUUUUGAAAUGCCACAGGUUCUUGCUGUCAAGAAAAUCAACUCUUCUGCACUCCACAAUCCUGAAGAUUUUCUCGAUAUAGUUUCUGAGAUAUCCGGGUUGCAUCAUCCAAAUGUAACUGAGCUGGUCGGAUAUUGUUCAGAGCAUGGGCAGCACCUGCUGGUUUAUGAAUUUCACAAAAAUGGUGCUCUCCAUGAUUUCCUGCAUCUGUCAGAUGAGAAUAGCAAGCCACUAAC